AGCUAAUAGAUACCCCGGUAGUCCACGCCGUAAACGUUGGGCACUAGGUGUGGGACUCUAUCGACGGGUUCCGUGCCGUAGCUAAACGCAUUAAGUGCCCCGCCUGGGGAGUACGGCCGCAAGGCUAAAACUCAAAGGAAUUGACGGGGGGCCCGCACAAGCGGCGGAGCGUGUGGCUUAAUUCGAUGCAACGCGAAGAACCUUACCUGGGCUUGACAUUUAUGGUAAAAGCGGAUGAAAGUCCGUGUCCUGGGCCGAUAAACAGGUGGUGCAUGGCUGUCGUCAGCUCGUGUCGUGAGAUGUUGGGUUAAGUCCCGCAACGAGCGCAACCCUGUCCUAUGUUGCUAGCGGGUAAUGCCGAGGACUCGUAGGAGACCGCCGGUGCCAAACCGGAGGAAGGUGGGGACGAAGUCAAGUCAUCAUGCCCCUUACGUCCAGGGCUGCACACGCGCUACAAUGG
rnacentral:rRNA from 1 species